CUCCUGCGGAUUCAUCAGCUCUCUGGAGACUCUCCCACUCAACGCCCACUCCAACCUGUCCUCCUGCGGAUUCAUCAACAGCUACUACUUUCCUCGUUCCUCCUCUCUACAUGAACCUGUUCAUUCUGAACCUCACAUGGAAGAAGAAGAUGACAAGAAGCAGCUGUGGGGUGAUGUUGUAGCUGUGAGUGGGGGAAAGAUUGAUAGGGAGGUUUGGAAGGAUGAUGUCAUAUCUGUGCACCAGGACCUGCAAGCGGCCACGGUGAACCCUCACC